CCUACGGGGGACAGCAGUAAGGGAUAUUGGUCAAUGGGGGAAACCCUGAACCAGCAACGCCGCGUGAGUGAAGACGGUUUUCGGAUUGUAAACCUCUGUUCUCUGUGAAGAUGAUGCCGGUAGCAGAGGAGGAAGCUCCGGCUAACUACGUGCCAGCAGCCGCGGUAAUACGUAGGGAGCGAGCGUUGUCCGGAUUUACUGGGGGUAAGGGGUGCGUAGGCGGCUUGGCAAGUCAGUAGUGAAGUCCAUGGGCUUAACCCAUGAACUGCAUGUGAAACUGUCGAGCUUGAGUGAAGUAGAGGUAGGCGGAAUUCCCGGUGUAGCGGUGAAAUGCGUAGAGAUCGGGAAGAACACCAGUGGCGAAGGCGGCCUACUGGGCUUUAACUGACGCUGAGGUACGAAAGCGUGGGUAGCAAACAGGAUUAGAUACCCUUGUAGUC
rnacentral:rRNA from 1 species